rnacentral:rRNA from 1 species
UACAGAGGGUGCGAGCGUUAAUCGGAAUUACUGGGCGUAAAGUGUGCGCAGGUGGCCGCGCAAGUCGAGUGUGAAAUCCCCGAGCUUAACUUGGGAAUUGCGCUCGAAACUACGUGGCUCGAGUGUGGCAGAGGAAGGUGGAAUUCCACGUGUAGCGGUGAAAUGCGUAGAGAUGUGGAGGAACACCGAUGGCGAAGGCAGCCUUCUGGGCCAACACUGACGCUCAUGCACGAAAGCGUGGGGAGCAAACAGG